rnacentral:rRNA from 1 species
UUGACCUCGGAUCAGGAGGGAUACC